CAGCGUUAAAACCAGCUGACCAAACAUGCUGGACUUUGCUGGGGUUUGUUAGGUAACCGGCUGGUCUUUGCUGGGGUUGCUAGGUAACGACUUACAGCGUUAAAACCAGCUCACCAAACAUGCUGGACUUUGCUGGGGUUGCUAGGUAACGGGCUGGUCUUUGCUGGGGUUGCUAGGUAACGUCUUGAGGGGCAGUGCCUGCUCAUUUGUGACGUUGUAGUCCCAAGAUUUUUGAAAAGCCUCAUUUAAUUGACAUUUGGUUCUUAGAAGCAGUUGAGACCCAAAU